rnacentral:lncRNA from 1 species
GGUAGAAUAGCAGCGUUUAAUGUUUAGGCAGGACUGAGGCCGGGAGCGCGCUUUCCUCUUUGUUUACCUUCGAUGUUGUGAGCAUGCGCAGAAGCACCAUGACAGGGGUCAGUGGAAGCCCUAGGUUAUCUGACCCUUGAUUUGAUUGAGAAGAGUCUUUGAGAUAGCAUAACAUAAUAAAAUUAUAAAAAACAUUAACUCAUAAAAUAACAGACUAUCUAUUUAUAUAUCUAUCUUAAAGUUAGUAAACAUAGUAAGGAAAAGCAUUUAACAUUGUAUCAUCACGCGCAUCUUUAUUUACGAAAUGUAUAUUUUAUUUCUUUUUUCAUUGAAUUCCAGCGUCUGUAUUACAGUAGUUUUGAUAAUAUGGUAGCUAUUGUGGUUUUGUUUUGACUGUUGAAGGAUGGUGGGAAAAUGAAAAUAUUAUUACGCAUAAUCUAUAUAACUGUAUAUUUGUACAAGCCAUUAUUUUAUUUUAAGGUACAGCAUUGAAGGAGUCUUUGACCUUGUGCUUAUUUGUCUCAGAAGCAGUUUCCUAUAGUAGUGAAUCUUGAAAAUCAAGGAAGACAUCCAGACAGCUUAUUGUGAACUGUCUGGUGAAACUGAGAGGUGCAGUAAUUUUAGUGGACUCAUUCUAGAGUAGACAGGCAGAUAGAUCAGAUAGAGGUCUUACACCUCCGUGAAGUUGGCACCCCAGUGGUGUCCAGCAGAUGGUGCUUUAAGCCUAAAAAAUACAAUGCACCAUGAUCUGAUUUUAUAUUGUUAGACUAUUUGUGAGAAUUUUAUUAUUAAGUCUUUGAAAGUGUAGAUUGAUUGACUUAAUUAUUCCCUUUCUUUUGUUUUGUUUUUUAAUUGUUUUCUCUUUGAACGUACAAGCGGUGUGUGGCAAAUACAAUUUGUCAAAUCCCAAACUAAAUGACUUUUAUUUUGAAAUUCAGUCUACUUUGAUGCUCACAACCGUUCCGGAAGUGGAAGCUGUUGUCAACGGAAGUAGAUUGAGUAAUAGUUGGUCUCCGUUGAUCGAGUGCACCUUACAAGCCACAUUUAGGGGCGCUGCACUUGCCAGAGGUUCAGGGAUUUCUUCAGCUCUCCACCUUUUGCUUUAGGACAGGCUUCCAGCUAUGGUGAGGCUUGCUAUCAUCAAUCUGUUAGGAUUCAUGUCAAGAUGAAAAAACUGGGGGGUCCAUAUAUAUAUAUAUAUAUUGUACAUUUUAGAUACCUUGUAUGGGGAAUGGUGUUCAUUUUAUGUUAAAUAUUAUCAUUUAGCAUUGCUAGACCAAUUGUUCCCAGACCAAGAGUCCAGAUCUGGUCUAAAUUUGUUCAACAUGUAGACCAAAUGUGUUUAAACUAAUAUAAUCAGUUUUUUUUUUUUUUUUCUUUACCUGUCUCUCUUUUCUUCUCCUGUCAGUCUACUGUGGUGGAUCUAAGAACUAAGGAGGAGAAAGAACGCAGAGUCUGCCAGAUUGUUUAUUUGGUGUAUCGCUAGUGAUUAUUUAAUUUGACUUAAAGUAUUAUUCAUUGUACAGGGAUUCAGUCCUUGAGAUGUUCAGAUUCAAGGUUAUUAUCUUGGUCAGUUUUAUUAAUUCAUUCAGCUUGCUUGUCUUCUCUUGUGUCACCAGGAAAUACAGGAAGAUAAGAAAAAGGCUGAACAGGAGGGCAUCGCUGUGACAACAACUCGCAAACCCCGCCCUCAUGAGCCUGAGUCCGAACGGAGAAAGACGGAAAAGGAAAACUUUACAGUGACAGUUGACUUGUCCAAACCUGCUGGGGUAAAGACAGAUGGCAGAAUAUUAUCAUAGAAUGGCCUUUUACCAUAAUACUCCACUAUCAUAAUUGGUUCUGCAAAAAAUGGAGUGUCUUAAAUAUCAGGUGUGGUCUCUCUUAUGCAGAAACCUUUUAGAAAUAAAGUUUUAAUUGUUUUACUGGGUCAUUUUUACCUUUAUAAGAUAUUG